rnacentral:rRNA from 1 species
CGGUUAAGAGACUUUCAGCAGUGAGGAAGGUAGUGUAGUUAAUAGCUGCAUUAUUUGACGUUUAGCUGCAGAAGAAGCACCGGCUAACUCCGUGCCAGCAGCCGCGGUAAUACGGAGGGUGCGAGCGUUAAUCGGAAUUACUGGGCGUAAAGCGCAUGCAGGUGGUUUGUUAAGUCAGAUGUGAAAGCCCGGGGCGUCAACCUCGGAAUAGCAUUUGAAACUGGCAGACUAGAGUACUGUAGAGGGGGGUAGGAAUUUCAGGUGUAGCGGUGAAAUGCGUAGAGAUCUGAAGGAAUACCGGUGGCGAAGGCGGCCCCCUGGACAGAUACUGACACUCAGAUGCGAAAGCGUGGGGAGCAAACAGGAUUAGAUACCCUGGUAG